CUCCGAAUGAAAACAUUGAGGAAAGUCUACAUCACAGGAGACGUCACUGGAUGUAACAGGAGGAGGAAGAUGUCUCCCAGCUUUGCUGUAUCACCCCCUCUGUCUGCAAGAGAGAAGCAUCCGUGUGUCUGUAGUGACGUCUGCGACCCCUCUUUAGAUCCUGGUGUGCACAUGUCCAUUUUGUAGGAAGGAUGACAUCACAGCUACAGAGUUGACCGUCUUAUAGCGUAGCUCGACUGCCCACCUCUCCUGAAGACGCCCUCAGUCAAGUGGAGGACAUCAUCUCUGAAAGAGGGUCCCACAGAUGCAUCCUAGCAGUUUAAACACCACUCCUACAAGAGUCAAUGCCCUGGGUGAUUUCACUGGGGAAUUACUCCAGGGUGGUACUUGUGUUGGGAUGCACCUCUGGCUGACUAUCAUCAUUCUAUAAGAUAAUGAUGUAGGUGUGUGCUGUCAAUAACCCCAUAAAGAUUUGUGAAUGCUUAGAUUAAAUGGCUACUAUCAGACAACCAGGAAUGGAUGUCUAACAUCCCAUGAUCUAUGCAGCUUAUCUGGAUACUUCAUGCAGUACGGGAAGUCUAAGUGACCAUUUAUGGACAGGUAGGAAAGAUAGUUAGCUAACAAAUGAGAAAUGCAUAUAUGAGUGAUAAUGUAAUGAUCAAAAGAGAAAAAAAUGUGGCAGGAAAGAAUUAACUCUGAUUUCUUGUAUCAAUCAUUAUCAGAGUUUUGGUUCAUGUCUGGUUUCUUUCCACUUUCCUGCUUCUCCUCUAUUGAUAUAACAUUCAAUUAUUGCCUGGAAAUGAUUGAUAUGUUAUAUUCCUAGUUGAGGGCGUGGAUAUGUCCAUUUUGUAGGAAGGAUGACAUCACAGCUACAGAGUUGACCGUCUGAUAGCCCAGCUCGACUGCCCACCUCUCCUGAAGACCCCUCAGCUUUUUGAGAGUUGGGUGGAGGACAUCAUCUC